rnacentral:rRNA from 1 species
CAAUAGCGUAUAUUUAAGUUGUUGCAGUUAAAAAGCUCGUAGUUGGAUUUCGGGUGGGUACCGCCAGUCUCCCAUUGGGUAUGUACUGGCGUGGCCCGCCUUGCUGUCGGGGACGGUCUCCUGGGCUUAAUUGCUCGGGAAUCGGAGUCGACGAUGUUACUUUGAGUAAAUUAGAGUGUUCAAAGCAAGCCUACGCUCUGAAUAUGAUAGCAUGGGAUAACACGACAGGACUCUGGCCUAUCGUGUUGGUCUGUAGGACCGGAGUAAUGAUUAAGAGGGACAGUCGGGGGCAUUCGUAUUCCAUUGUCAGAGGUGAAAUUCUUGGAUUUAUGGAAGACGAACAUCUGCGAAAGCAUUUGCCAAGGAUGUUUUCAUUGA